rnacentral:lncRNA from 1 species
AGAAGUUGGUGCCCUUUGCAGCAGCCAGGAGUCCGACUCCUCCUCUUCCUGUGUGGAACCUGGAAUUCAAACGGCUGGGGCCUCACUCACGGCAUAUGGAACUAACCACGCCCCUAACUAAGAAGGCACACCUUAGUUGCAGUUAGCACACAAUUAAAGCAACUCUCCAAGUUUUACCUUAAAGUUCAAAAUUGCUAGGAGUUGAAACUACUAGAAAUAUAUUUACAUGCAAGAGUCAAAGAAACUUUGAACUAUUUAUGGCCUUUAAUAAUUAAGUAAGGUAUACUCCUGUGAUCAAGACUUGGAGCAUAUUUGUUUCUCUCUGCCUGGUUCCUCUAGAAAUUGGAAACUAUCAGAACAGAGACCAACUCCGUUUCCCGAUCCCUUUGCAAUCUGCAUUGAACCAUGAGUCAAGUUCUUGAUAAAGGAGUGAAAAUGGUAAGUCUAAAGCAAUGAAAAGCUGCUGUAUUGACUACACAUGCCUUCAUUUCUUCUACCCUGCUUCUUUCAUGCCUGCUUAUCUGAAUGACACCAGGAUGACAUUUAAGGCACAUCUGAAGAUGGGGAAACCACAGCACAGAAUAAGGCUGGGCCCUUGAAUCAAUAAAUGAAGGAGAACUACUCAAGAGAACAAAACCACCAGCAAUAUCCACCUGUAUUUGUCUUUUCAUAAUGUGUGACACAUGUGCUCAUGGAUUAUUGUCCGAAGCAAGACAUGUGACCAAGCCUAACAUCAACUGGGUGAAGAGCUAUAUGUUCCUUUCUCAAGAGGCACUACAAGUGACAUGCCACUGGGCAGAAUAUUUAUGUGUGAAUCAACUAGAGGAAUGAACAUCACCUAAAGACAAAACAGGAUCUUUGUAUACAUCUUCUGGGAAGGAGUUGUUAUCAUUUCCACAAGGCCAAUUGCAUCAUUCGGAUAAAAACAUUAUAUUGUUGUCUUUAUUUGGAAGUAAAAUAUAUUUUAAA